rnacentral:rRNA from 1 species
CCUACGGGAGGCAGCAGUGAGGAAUAUUGGUCAAUGGCCGAGAGGCUGAACCAGCAAAGUCGCGUGAGGGAAGACGGCCCUACGGGUUGUAAACCUCUUUUGUCGGGGAGCAAAGCGAGUCACGUGUGACUCAUUGAGAGUACCCGAAGAAAAAGCAUCGGCUAACUCCGUGCCAGCAGCCGCGGUAAUACGGAGGAUGCGAGCGUGAUCCGGAUUUAUUGGGUUUAAAGGGUGCGCAGGCGGAGUUGCAAGUCAGCGGUCAAAUUGCGGGGCUCAACCCCGUACUGCCGUUGAAACUGCAGCCCUUGAGUGCGCGAGAAGUAUGCGGAAUGCGUGGUGUAGCGGUGAAAUGCAUAGAGAUCACGCAGAACUCCGAUUGCGAAGGCAGCAUACCGGCGCGCAACUGACGCUCAUGCACGAAAGCGUGGGUAUCGAACAGGAUUAGAUACUCCUGUAGUC